GAUGAACGCUGGCGGCGUGCUUAACACAUGCAAGUCGAACGGUGAAGGCGGAGCUUGCUCUGCUGGAUCAGUGGCGAACGGGUGAGUAACACGUGAGCAAUCUGCCCCUGACUCUGGGAUAAGCGCUGGAAACGGCGUCUAAUACUGGAUACGAGCUGCGAAGGCAUCUUCAGCAGCUGGAAAGAAUUUCGGUCAGGGAUGAGCUCGCGGCCUAUCAGCUUGUUGGUGAGGUAAUGGCUCACCAAGGCGUCGACGGGUAGCCGGCCUGAGAGGGUGACCGGCCACACGGGGACUGAGACACGGCCCAGACUCCUACGGGAGGCAGCAGUGGGGAAUAUUGCACAAUGGGCGAAAGCCUGAUGCAGCAACGCCGCGUGAGGGACGACGGCCUUCGGGUGGUAAACCUCUUUUAGCAGGGAAGAAGCGAAAGUGACGGUACCGGCAGAAAAAGCGCCGGCUAACUACGU
rnacentral:rRNA from 1 species